UGACAAUAAUUAAAAAUUCUAAUUGGUAUUUGACCCAUUAAACGCAUCAAGUUAAUAAGACAACGCGACGUGAAUCACAGGAUAUGAUAUCACACGCUACUUCACCUCUGCGGCAAAACGACGCGCCUCACGGAAUCCAGAGCGAUCCAUCAUAAGUGCAGUGCAAACAGUGUUACGUAUUUUAGAUUUUUUUAAAUUCAAAUUGUUCCAAGAAAUCUAUGAUUUUUUGAUUGAAACUGAAUAUGAGAAGACGUGCAUUGCGUAUCCUUUUUUUAUAAUGUAAUUUAAGGUUUAUGCUACAUAUCGACAGUGUAUUAUUUACAACAUGAAUUAUUUGUUGUGGUAAUGAUAAAAAAUUGGUAAUGAUGGUGUUGAUAUUACUGUACAGGUGACAUAAAAAUUGUGAAAAAUGUGUAAGUGAUAUGAAACACUAUAAAAUAGCACCUUAGAAUAAAUGAGAUGCGUAACUAAUGUUAUCUAAAUAACAUAAUUUUAUCUUGAUACAGUUUAUACUACUCGCAGCGACAUAACAACUAAACCUUGAUAAAACAAAGGACCAAAGUCUUAGUGGAGGCAGCAAAUAAAGCGUAACUGGAGUGCAAGCACUGUAUAAUUACUAGAAACGUUACAUUCAAUACUAAAAAUUAUUAUUAAUAUUAUUAUUUCACUAACUUUCUUAUAAAUAUUUCACUUAUCAAUUUUAUUAAUAAGUCAUAAUGCAAAAUAUAAAAUAAGUUUCAAGUGAAAAAUAUUUAUACGAAUUUUUUUUACUAAAUAAUAUAUUGACAGUGUUUCUUGUUUGUAAGCGGUACAUAUUAAUGUUUGCACUCCAUUCGCGCGGGUGAUGUACCUCUGCGAGGUUAGUAAUAGAGGAGGAGAGUCUCUGCAGGGACGUCCUCCGCUGUGUGGUAACUAGCUUGCGCACUACGUCUAACGGCCGCCUCAGCCCUAGCAUGUUUUGUGCGCUGAAGAAUGAAUCGGACGGUGUAGUCUCCUCACUGUCCUCAUGUAACGAUGCGACCUUGAAUACAAAUACUUCAUUGUCCCAUAAGCGACAAUGCGUGGGCGCACAUAGACGGACUUCUGUCCGUGACAUCAGCUGCUUAUGUUUUAUAAUGAUCUUGAAAUAUAAACAUUUCGUCGUA